UCGACUUCGACUGAUUCGGUGCGAGCCAUUAACUAUUCGUGGUCUUCACGAUAACUACAAACGUCUAAAAUGAUUGAGGGACCUUCAAAGAGGUUUGUAGUGAAAAGACUUUCGUUUGUAGUUGAAUAAAACUUACAGAAAAUUGAAGUUAAAGCCGCGGAAGUACGAAAAUUUCGACUUCGACUGAUUCGGUGCGAGCCAUUAACUAUUCGUGGUCUUCACGAUAACUACAAACGUCUAAAAUGAUCGAGGGAUCUCUAUGGAGGUUUGUAGUGAAAAGACUUUCGUUUGUAGUUGAAUAAAACUUACAGAAAAUUGAAGUUAAAGCCGCGAAAGUACGUCAAUCUCGUCUUCGACUGAUUCGGUGCGAGCCAGUUACCGAUGGAUGGUCUUCACAAUUACUACAAACAUCUAAAAUGAUUUAGGGACCUCUAUGGAGGUUUGUAGUGAAAAGACUUUCGUUUGUAGUUGAAUAAAACUUACAGAAAAUUGAAGUUAAAGCCGCGAAAGUACGUCAAUCUCGUCUUCGACUAAUUCGGUGCGAGCCAAUUACCGAUGGAUGUUAUUUACAAUUACUAAAAACGUCUAAAAUGAUUUAGGCACCUCUAUUGAGGUUUGUAGUGAAAAAAUGUUUUUUUGUAGUUGAAUAAAACUUACAGAAAAUUGAAGUUAAAGCCGCAAAAGUACGAAAAUUUUGACUUCGACUGAUUCGAUGCGAGCCACUUACCGCUGG
rnacentral:misc_RNA from 1 species